rnacentral:misc_RNA from 2 species
UUUGUGCUUGGUGGGUCGCUACUAGUUGUGCGGUUUCGGGGAAUGUCUACCGUAAAGGUGCAUGAGUGGUGUUUGGUUUGUUACGGAUGGUUGGAUGUCUGACUUGUGCAGCAACUUCCAUGCGUGCAUACCUCUUCAUUUGUGCUGCAAGGCUUCUUUUGUCUUGAGCAUUUUUGUGGGUUUUCUGUGUUGCAUACCUAACCGAUGGCAUUGUGUGGUUUGAUGGAUGGUCAUUUUCGUCAUACGUCGCUCAUGCGAUGUGGGAUGAACCUUGAAGCGGUCUUUGUGAUCCACCUUGUUGGUGCCAUUGCAUCGAUGAUGUGGCCCAUGAAGCAUUGCUUGGUCUCUUGAGUAUGGAGCCUGACUUGGGCGUGGGUCUUUACUUGAUCCUACAUUACAUUUGCCCUUGUUAAGCGUUCUUGCUUCUCUGAAA